UUUCCGUAGGUGAACCUGCGGAAGGAUCAUUAUUGAAUAACCGUGGUGUGAGGGCUGUCGCUGACCCGAAAGGUCGUGCACCCCCGACUGUCCUCACACACAUCCAUCUCACCCCUAUGUGGACCACCGCGUGGGUCCCCCCUUAGCUCGUACGGAGGGGGGCUUUCGUUUUCACACAAACUUUGUAUGCAGUAUAGAAUGUAUUGUUUGUUUUUGCGAUCACGCAAUCAAUACAACUUUCAACAACGGAUCUCUUGGCUCUC
rnacentral:misc_RNA from 1 species